GCAGUCGAACGAUGAACCACUUCGGUGGGGAUUAGUGGCGAACGGGUGAGUAACACGUGGGCAAUCUGCCCUUCACUCUGGGACAAGCCCUGGAAACGGGGUCUAAUACCGGAUAACACUCUCGCAGGCAUCUGUGAGGGUUAAAAGCUCCGGCGGUGAAGGAUGAGCCCGCGGCCUAUCAGCUUGUUGGUGAGGUAAUGGCUCACCAAGGCGACGACGGGUAGCCGGCCUGAGAGGGCGACCGGCCACACUGGGACUGAGACACGGCCCAGACUCCUACGGGAGGCAGCAGUGGGGAAUAUUGCACAAUGGGCGAAAGCCUGAUGCAGCGACGCCGCGUGAGGGAUGACGGCCUUCGGGUUGUAAACCUCUUUCAGCAGGGAAGAAGCGAAAGUGACGGUACCUGCAGAAGAAGCGCCGGCUAACUACGUGCCAGCAGCCGCGGUAAUACGUAGGGCGCAAGCGUUGUCCGGAAUUAUUGGGCGUAAAGAGCUCGUAGGCGGCUUGUCACGUCGAUUGUGAAAGCCCGAGGCUUAACCUCGGGUCUGCAGUCGAUACGGGCUAGCUAGAGUGUGGUAGGGGAGAUCGGAAUUCCUGGUGUAGCGGUGAAAUGCGCAGAUAUCAGGA
rnacentral:rRNA from 1 species